AGAAAGCUGUUCAUUAUUGAUUCAACUUCUUCAAUACAUACAGACAUUCUGAUGAUCUGUUUCCCCUUAGGAAAGCAUUUGUGGAAUUCUUCAAGCUAAACAGCCAACAAAAUCUUAGCAGGGUAAUGUCAGUAAGGCCUAUCUUACAUACCAAAUUCCUAUAAAGUUUUAAGUAUAACUAACUGAA